rnacentral:rRNA from 1 species
AUUGAACGCUGGCGGCAGGCUUAACACAUGCAAGUCGAGCGGAGAUGAGGUGCUUGCACCUUAUCUUAGCGGCGGACGGGUGAGUAAUGCUUAGGAAUCUGCCUAUUAGUGGGGGACAACAUUCCGAAAGGAAUGCUAAUACCGCAUACGUCCUACGGGAGAAAGCAGGGGAUCUUCGGACCUUGCGCUAAUAGAUGAGCCCAAGUCGGAUUAGCUAGUUGGUGGGGUAAAGGCCUACCAAGGCGACGAUCUGUAGCGGGUCUGAGAGGAUGAUCCGGCACACUGGGACUGAGACACGGCCCACACUCCUACGGGAGGCAGCAGUGGGGAAUAUUGGACAAUGGGGGGAACCCUGAUCCAGCCAUGCCGCGUGUGUGAAGAGGGCCUUAUGGUUGUAAAGCACUUUAAGCGAGGAGGAGGCUACUGAGACUAAUACUCUUGGAUAGUGGACGUUACUCGCAGAAUAAGCACCGGCUAACUCUGUGCCAGCCGCCGCCGUAA